rnacentral:rRNA from 1 species
UCCCGGCAGUCCAAGUCGCAGCCAACAUUAUUGGGUCUAAAACAUCCGUAGCUUGCUUAUUAAGUUCCUUGUGAAAUUCUACGUCUCAAGCGUGGAGCUUGCGGGGAAUACUGGUAAGCUAGAGACCGGAAGAUGCAAAGAGUACACUCAAGGUAGUGGUAAAAUACGUUAAUAUAUAGGGGAAUACCAAAAGCGAAGGCAGUUCACUGGCGCAUUUCUGACGCUGAAACACGAAAGCGUGGGUAGCGAAUGG